AUUGAACGCUGGCGGCAGGCCUAACACAUGCAAGUAGAGCGGAGCGGAGGACGGGUGAGUAAUGCCUAGGAAGCUGCCUGGUAGUGGGGGAUAACGUCAGGAAACGGGCGCUAAUACCGCAUACUAUCAGAUGAGCCUAGGUCUGAUUAGCUAGUUGGUGGGUUAAAGGCCUACCAAGGCGACGAUCCGUAACUGGUCUGAGAGGAUGAUCAGUCACACUGGAACGGAUACACGGUCCAGACUCCUACGGGAGGCAGCAGUGGGGCAUAUUGGACAAUGGGCUAAAGCCUGAUCCCGCCAUGCCGCGUGUGUGAAGAAGGUCUUCGGAUUGUAAAGCUCUUUAAGUUGGGAGGCGUUACCAACAGAAUAAGCACCGGCUAACUUCGUGCCAGCCGCCGCGGUAAUUC
rnacentral:rRNA from 1 species